rnacentral:rRNA from 1 species
AUACGGAGGGUGCAAGCGUUAAUCGGAAUUACUGGGCGUAAAGCGUACGUAGGCGGUUCGUUAAGUUAGAUGUGAAAGCCCCGGGCUUAACCUGGGAACUGCAUUUAAAACUGGCGGACUUGAGUUGAGUAGAGGGGAGUGGAAUUUCAGGUGUAGCGGUGAAAUGCGUAGAGAUCUGAAGGAACACCAGUGGCGAAGGCGACUCCCUGGACUCGAACUGACGCUGAGGUACGAAAGCGUGGGUAGCAAACGGGAUUAGAAACCCUAGUAGUCC